UACGAAGGGGGCUAGCGUUGCUCGGAAUCACUGGGCGUAAAGCGCACGUAGGCGGAUCUUUAAGUCAGGGGUGAAAUCCUGGAGCUCAACUCCAGAACUGCCUUUGAUACUGGGGAUCUCGAGUCCGGAAGAGGUGAGUGGAACUCCGAGUGUAGAGGUGAAAUUCGUAGAUAUUCGGAAGAACACCAGUGGCGAAGGCGGCUCACUGGUCCGGUACUGACGCUCAUGCACGAAAGCGUGGGGAGCAAACAGG
rnacentral:rRNA from 1 species